GAAUUACAUAGAAUGUGAAACCAUAUAAGUCUGCAAAUAAGGUGUGGAAGUCUCUACGCGGCGACCGUAAAUUGCCUGCGCUAUGGUGUUCUUUUUUCUGCUU
rnacentral:ncRNA from 2 species